UACGGGGGGGCAAGCGGUUGUUCGGAAUUACUGGGCGUAAAGGGCUCGUAGGUGGCCAACUAAGUCGGACGUGAAAUCCCUCGGCCUUAACCGGGGAACUGCAUCCGAUACUGGAUGGCUUGAGUUCGGGAGAGGGAUGCGGAAUUCCAGGUGUAGCGGUGAAAUGCGUAGAUAUCUGGAGGAACACCGGUGGCGAAGGCGGCAUCCUGGACCGACACUGACGCUGAGGAGCGAAAGCCAGGGGAGCAAACGGG
rnacentral:rRNA from 1 species